rnacentral:rRNA from 1 species
UAUCAACUUUCGAUGGUAGGAUAGAGGCCUACCAUGGUGGUAACGGGUAACGGGGUGUUAGGGCACGACACCGGAGAGGGAGCCUGAGAAACGGCUACCACAUCCAAGGAUGGCAGCAGGCGCGCAAAUUACCCAAUCCCGACACGGGGAGGUAGUGACAAUAAAUAACAAUACGGGGUUCUUUAGGAUCUCGUAAUUGGAAUGAGUACAAUUUAAAUCUCUUAACGAGGAACAAUUGGAGGGCAAGUCUGGUGCCAGCAGCCGCGGUAAUUCCAGCUCCAAUAGCGUAUAUUAAAGUUGUUGCAGUUAAAAAGCUCGUAGUUGAAUUUCGGGGUUAGUAGGUUGGUCAUGCCUCCGGUAUGUACUGAUCUCACUGAUUCCUCCUUCCUUAUGAACCGUAAUGCCAUUAAUUUGGUGUUGCGGGGAAUUUGGACUGUUACUUUGAAAAAAUUAGUGUGUUUAAAGCAGGCUAACGCUUGAAUACAUUAGCAUGGAAUAAUGAAAUAGGACGUUCGAUCCUAUUUUGUUGGUUUCUAGGAUUGACGUAAUGAUUAAUAGGGAUAGUUGGGGGCAUUAGUAUUCAAUUGUCAGAGGUGAAAUUCUUGGAUUUAUUGAAGACUAACUACUGCGAAAGCAUUUGCCAAGGAUGUUUUCAUUAAUCAAGAACGAAAGUUAGGAGAUCGAAGACGAUCAGAUACCGUCGUAGUCUUAACCAUAAACUAUGCUGACUAGGGAUCGGAUGAUGUUAAUUUUUUAAUGACUCAUUCGACGCCUUACGGGAAACCAAAGUGUUUGGGUUC